rnacentral:rRNA from 1 species
UACGGAGGGUCCAAGCGUUAUCCGGAAUCAUUGGGUUUAAAGGGUCCGUAGGCGGCUUUAUAAGUCAGUGGUGAAAUCUCCUAGCUCAACUAGGAAAUGGCCAUUGAUACUGUAGGGCUUGAAUUAUUGUGAAGUAACUAGAAUAUGUAGUGUAGCGGUGAAAUGCUUAGAUAUUACAUGGAAUACCAAUUGCGAAGGCA